AUAGUUUUUAAAAAUUUGUUUUUGUUUUCAAGAAUAUAGAGAAUUCAACUAUGAGUAUGAGUAAGAAAAUUGGGAAGACCAGAACAAUUUUUAAAAACUAAAAACAAAAUGAUUAACAAUCAGAUCUUAGAAACGAAUGGCUCUGAAGACAUUUCUUUGUUGUUUUUCUUUAUGAUAUGGAGAGUAUAUGUGUCAAUUAUGGUUGAAUUGAAGUGAAAAAUAAAGGAGAUUGGUACCUUGGGUGCAGUUCCUUGCUGAUUCAUGAGAGCUCUUUCUUCUCCUCUCAUUGUGUCCUGCCAGUCUCCUCCUACAGCUCCUCUUGGAAUCAUCAAACUCGGAAAUCACAUGAAACCUAGAAAUGAAAUUUACACGCUGCUCUGUACCCAUUCAACAGUGGAAUUGCUAUUGCUUGCAGGAAAAAAAUUAAAGGACAACCAAAUAAGAAGUGCUGUUGAUUUUAAUGAAGAGGAAGAACAGUAAAAAGUGAGAUGAUAAAUAAAGCAAAAUGAAAAUGGAUGGGGGGAUUUGUUUAGGAAGAAGAGGAAGAAGAGGAAGAAGAGGAAGAAGAGAUGAGGUGGGAUCCAAAGAAGAGACAAAGCAGUCUGGUAAGAUUCUGCCACGUGUACGGCGGGAGGGAAAGGCAGCAAAGACAAGUAUAUCUUAAGGAGUACAUCUCUUAUAAAGAUCUCUCCAAUCUGAUUUUCCAUAACAAAAAAUGUCAAUGUUUGUUUCUGUAAAGUCCCAAAAUUCGUAAUUUCCUCUUUUUCUGAUAAUCCUCUUCUCUGGGUGUUCGACACGUGUACUCCUUUUUCCCUUUAUCCUUUAUCAAAAAAGGCACACUUUUAAGUUUUAAAUCAAAAUAAAAAUAACUGCAAACAAUUUGUACUCCAAAACCCAGAUUGGUGUAUGAUGAGAGAUUUGCAUUGUUUCUUUUAAUGAAACAAAUGACAUACAUUUGGAUUUGCCAAACUCUCAUAUCAUAAAUCUACAACUCAAACACACCCCUUCUUUUUGUUUU